rnacentral:rRNA from 1 species
UACAGAGGUCUCAAGCGUCGUUCGGAUUCAUUGGGCGUAAAGGGUGCGUAGGUGGCGUGGUAAGUCGGGUGUGAAAUUUCGGAGCUUAACUCCGAAACUGCAUUCGAUACGGGCAGGCUAGAGUUCGGUAGGGGAGACUGGAAUUCCUGGUGUAGCGGUGAAAUGCGCAGAUAUCAGGAGGAACACCGAUGGGGAAGGCAGGGCUCUGGGCCGAUACUGGCGCUGAGGAGCGAAAGCGUGGGGAGCGAACAGG